GACAGGUACAGUGGCACGUGCUUGUAGUUAGCUACUCAGGAGGCUGAGGCAGGAGGAUCACUUGAGCCCAGGAGUCCUGGGCUGUAGUGCCCUAUGCUGAUAGGGUGUUCACACUGAGUUCACAUUAAUAUGGUGACCUCCCGGGAGUGAGGGAUCACCAGGCUGCCUAAGGAGGGGCUAACCUGCCCAGGUCAGAAGCAGAACAAGUGAAAAUUCCCAUAUUGAUCAGUAGUGGGAUCAUGCCUGUGAAUCACCACUGCACUCCAGCCUGGGCAACAUAGCAAGACCCCAUUUCU
rnacentral:SRP_RNA from 1 species